GAGGAACUGUGGGUUGAGGUAGAAGAGAGGAACUGUGGGUUGAGGUAGAAGAGAGGAACUGUGGGUUGAGGUAAUGAAGAGAUGAACUGUGGGUUGAGGUAUAAGAGAUGGACUGUGGGUUGAGGUAUAAGAGAUGAACUGUGGGUUGAGGUAUAAGAGAGGAACUGUGGGUUGAGGUAUAAGAGAGGAACUGUGGGUUGAGGUAUAAGAGAGGAACUGUGGGUUGAGGUAUAAGAGAGGAACUGUGGGUUGAGGUAUAAGAGAGGAACUGUGGGUUGAGGUAUAAGAGAGGAACUGUGGGUUGAGGUAUAAGAGAUGGACUGUGGGUUGAGGUAUAAGAGAGGAACUGUGGGUUGAGGUAUAAGAGAGGAACUGUGGGUUGAGGUAUAAGAGAGGAACUGUGGGUUGAGG
ensembl:lncRNA